GACGAACGCUGGCGGCAUGCCUAACACAUGCAAGUCGAACGGAGAUUAUUUCGGUAAUCUUAGUGGCGAACGGGUGAGUAACGCGUGGGCAACCUGCCCUCUAGAUGGGGACAACAUCCCGAAAGGGGUGCUAAUACCGAAUGUGACAGCAAUCUCGCAUGAGGAUGCUGUGAAAGAUGGCCUCUAUUUAUAAGCUAUCGCUAGAGGAUGGGCCUGCGUCUGAUUAGCUAGUUGGUGGGGUAACGGCCUACCAAGGCGAUGAUCAGUAGCCGGUCUGAGAGGAUGAACGGCCACAUUGGGACUGAGACACGGCCCAGACUCCUACGGGAGGCAGCAGUGGGGAAUCUUCCGCAAUGGGCGAAAGCCUGACGGAGCAAUGCCGCGUGAGUGAUGAAGGAAUUCGUUCCGUAAAGCUCUUUUGUUUAUGACGAAUGUGCAGAUUGUGAACAAUGAUCUGUAAUGACGGUAGUAAACGAAUAGGCCACGGCUAACUACGUG
rnacentral:rRNA from 1 species